rnacentral:rRNA from 1 species
CCUACGGGCGGCAGCAGUGGGGAAUAUUGGACAAUGGGGGGAACCCUGAUCCAGCCAUGCCGCGUGUGUGAAGAAGGCCCUCGGGUUGUAAAGCACUUUCAGUGAGGAAGAACGCCUGGUGGUUAAUACCCAUCAGGAAAGACAUCACUCACAGAAGAAGCACCGGCUAACUCCGUGCCAGCAGCCGCGGUAAUACGGAGGGUGCGAGCGUUAAUCGGAAUUACUGGGCGUAAAGCGCGCGUAGGUGGCUUGAUAAGCCGGUUGUGAAAGCCCCGGGCUCAACCUGGGAACGGCAUCCGGAACUGUCAAGCUAGAGUGCAGGAGAGGAAGGUAGAAUUCCCGAUGUAGCGGUGAAAUGCGUAGAGAUCGGGAGGAAUACCAGUGGCGAAGGCGGCCUUCUGGACUGACACUGACACUGAGGUGCGAAAGCGUGGGUAGCAAACAGGAUUAGAUACCCUCAGUAGUC